rnacentral:rRNA from 1 species
UGGGGAAUUUUGGACAAUGGGCGCAAGCCUGAUCCAGCCAUGCCGCGUGCGGGAAGAAGGCCUUCGGGUUGUAAACCGCUUUUGUCAGGGAAGAAAUCUUCUGAGUUAAUACCUCGGGAGGAUGACGGUACCUGAAGAAUAAGCACCGGCUAACUACGUGCCAGCAGCCGCGGUAAUACGUAGGGUGCAAGCGUUAAUCGGAAUUACUGGGCGUAAAGCGUGCGCAGGCGGUUUUGUAAGACAGAGGUGAAAUCCCCGGGCUCAACCUGGGAACUGCCUUUGUGACUGCAAGGCUUGAGUGCGGCAGAGGGGGAUGGAAUUCCGCGUGUAGCAGUGAAAUUGCGUAGAUAUGCGGAGGAACACCGAUGGCGAAGGCAAUCCCCUGGGCCUGCACUGACGCUCAUGCACGAAAGCGUGGGGAGCAAACAGGAUUAGAUACCCUGGUAGUCCACGCCCUAAACGAUGUCAACUGGUUGUUGGGAAGGUUCCUUCUCAGUAACGUAGCUAACGCGUGAAGUUGACCGCCUGGGGAGUACGGCCGCAAGGUUGAAACUUAAAGGAAUUGACGGGGUCAUAGC